rnacentral:rRNA from 1 species
GGUGGGAACUCAAAGGAGACUGCCAGUGAUAAACCGGAGGAAGGUGGGGAUGACGUCAAGUCAUCAUGGCCCUUACGGCCAGGGCUACACACGUGCUACAAUGGCGGGUACAAAGGGAAGCGACCUAGCGAUAGCGAGCGAAUCUCAUAAAGCGGGUCGUAGUCCGGAUUGGAGUCUGCAACUCGACUCCAUGAAGUCGGAAUCGCUAGUAAUCG